AAUCAACGCUGGCGGCAUGCCUAACACAUGCAAGUCGAGCGAGAAAGUGUAGCAAUACAUGAGUACAGCGGCGCACGGGUGAGUAACACGCGGAUAACCUGCCUCACAGUGGGGAAUAACACCGGGAAACCGGUGCUAAUACCGCAUAUUCUGACGAGGUCUGCGGAUUUCGUCAGGAAAGGAGCAAUUCGCUAUGAGAGGGGUCCGCGGCUGAUUAGCUAGUUGGUGAGGUAAUGGCUCACCAAGGCCACGAUCAGUAGCCGGUCUGAGAGGACGGUCGGCCACACUGGAACUGAGACACGGUCCAGACUCCUACGGGAGGCAGCAGUGGGGAAUUUUUCGCAAUGGGGGCAACCCUGACGAAGCAAUGCCGCGUGGAUGAUGAAGUCUCUUGGGACGUAAAAUCCUUUCGACAGGGACGAAGCCGCAAGGUUGACGGUACCUGUAGAAGAAGCCCCGGCUAACUCCGUGC
rnacentral:rRNA from 1 species